rnacentral:lncRNA from 1 species
AUGGGAGUUCCCCUGCACAAACUCUCCCUUUGCUGGCAGCCAUGUAAGAUGUCCCUUUGCUCUUCUUCAUCUUCCACUAUGAUUGUGAGGCCUCCCCAGCCAUGUGGAACUCUCAACCUGUCUCAAGUUUGGCUCCAGGCAACAUGUACCAGAUGGUUCAUAGCGGUCAAACAUCUGUUCCCUUCUCCUCGGGACCAGACCAGCUCAAUUCACCUUCCAUGUGUCACUAUCCAUGGAGAUCUUCCCAAAGCACAGGUCUUUAAAUAACAACUUCUUCAACCAACUGCCAAUCAGGAAAUCUUUGAAUCCACCUGGAAUCCACCUGGAAGCCCACCAUCUCUGCCCACCCUGCUUCAAGUUGUCCUGCCUUUCUGAACUGAACCAAUGUACACCUUACAUGCAUUGAUUGAUAUCUGCCUAUAAUUUGUGUGCCCCUAAAAUGUAUAAAAUCAAGCUAUAACCCAACCGCCUUGGGUACAUGUUGUCAGGACCUCUUAACUCUGUGUCUUGGGCCCCGGUCACUCAUAUUUGGCUCAGAAUAAACCUAAUAUUUUACAGAUUUUGACUCUUUUCAUUGGAGAACACAUUUGCACCUUGCAACAGGAAGUCCAAGGCAGGUGGUCCCAGGGUCAGUAAGCUCAGCAGACCAACAAUAUCAGUGAGAAUCCCGAUCUUCCACAUCCCUUCCCAGGGCUGCCCUCAGGGCACAGCUCUGGUCCUCCAGCUGCUCUCUAGACAUGAUGGGGAAAGGCAGGGAAAGGGCCUGCAGAUAAACAGGCAAAUCACUGGCUUUGGUUAUUUUCCACACUUCAUAGAAGCAGAAAUAGCAGCACAGAGAGUAUAAGUAGCAUGCUCAAGUCACACAGCAGAGCCAGAGCAUUCUUUUGAAGUCCCCUUUCUACAAAUUGUGCAGCAUCCAUCUUUUACCUGCCCUUUCUCCAAUCAUAGACCCAUCAC